rnacentral:rRNA from 1 species
ACGGGAGGCAGCAGUGAGGAAUAUUGGUCAAUGGGCGGAAGCCUGAACCAGCCAAGUCGCGUGAAGGAUGAAGGUAUUAUGUAUUGUAAACUUCUUUAGACGUAGAGAAAUAAGGGCCUCGUGAGGCUUGAUGCUAGUAUACGUAGAAUAAGGACCGGCUAAUUCCGUGCCAGCAGCCGCGGUAAUACGGAAGGUCCGGGCGUUAUCCGGAUUUAUUGGGUUUAAAGGGAGCGUAGGCGGGAAGUCAAGUCAGCUGUGAAAUGUAGACGCUCAACGUCUGCACUGCAGCUGAAACUGGUUUUCUUGAGUGCGUAAGAGGCAGGCGGAAUUCGUCGUGUAGCGGUGAAAUGCUUAGAUAUGACGAAGAACUCCUAUUGCGAAGGCAGCUUGCUGGGCCGCAACUGACGCUGAAGCUCGAAGGUGCGGGUAUCGAACAGGAUUAGAUACCCUGGUA